rnacentral:rRNA from 1 species
AACACAUGCAAGUCGAGGGGUAACAUAGAGAAGCUUGCUUUUCUGAUGACGACCGGCGCACGGGUGAGUAACGCGUAUACAACCUACCUUUUAGCGGGGAAUAGCCCAGGGAAACUUGGAUUAAUGCCCCAUAGUAUGGUGAUCUCUCCUGAGAUUAUCAUUAAACAUUUAUGGCUAUUAGAUGGGUAUGCGUCCUAUUAGUUAGUUGGUAAGGUAACGGCUUACCAAGGCAGCGAUAGGUAGGGGUCCUGAGAGGGAGAUCCCCCACACUGGUACUGAGACACGGACCAGACUCCUACGGGAGGCAGCAGUGAGGAAUAUUGGACAAUGGGCGAGAGCCUGAUCCAGCCAUGCCGCGUGCAGGAAGACUGCCCUAUGGGUUGUAAACUGCUUUUACAGAGGAAGAAUCGCCACUACGUGUAGUGGUUUGACGGUACUCUGCGAAUAAGGAUCGGCUAACUCCGUGCCAGCAGCCGCGGUAAUACGGAGGAUCCAAGCGUUAUCCGGAAUCAUUGGGUUUAAAGGGUCCGUAGGCGGGCAGUUAAGUCAGUGGUGAAAGUCUUCCGCUCAACGGGAGAACUGCCAUUGAAACUGAUUGUCUUGAGUUAUUAUGAAGUGGUUAGAAUGAGUAGUGUAGCGGUGAAAUGCAUAGAUAUUACUCAGAAUACCGAUUGCGAAGGCAGAUCACUAAUAAUAUACUGACGCUGAUGGACGAAAGCGUAGGUAGCGAACAGGAUUAGAUACCCUGGUAGUCUACGCCGUAAACGAUGGUUACUAGCUGUUCGGCCCGAUUAAGGGCUGAGUGGUUAAGCGAAAGUGAUAAGUAACCCACCUGGGGAGUACGUUCGCAAGAAUGAAACUCAAAGGAAUUGACGGGGGCCCGCACAAGCGGUGGAGCAUGUGGUUUAAUUCGAUGAUACGCGAGGAACCUUACCAGGGCUUAAAUGUAGUCUGACAGGAGUGGAAACACUUUUUUCUUCGGACAGAUUACAAGGUGCUGCAUGGUUGUCGUCAGCUCGUGCCGUGAGGUGUCAGGUUAAGUCCUAUAACGAGCGCAACCCCUGUGGUUAGUUGCCAGCGAGUAAUGUCGGGAACUCUAGCCAGACUGCCGGUGCAAACCGUGAGGAAGGUGGGGAUGACGUCAAAUCAUCACGGCCCUUACGUCCUGGGCCACACACGUGCUACAAUGGUAGGGACAGAGAGCAGCCACUUCGCGAGAAGGAGCGAAUCUACAAACCCUAUCACAGUUCGGAUCGCAGUCUGCAACUCGACUGCGUGAAGCUGGAAUCGCUAGUAAUCGCAUAUCAGCCAUGAUGCGGUGAAUACGUUCCCGGGCCUUGUACACACCGCCCGUCAAGCCAUGGAAGCCGGGGGUACCUGAAGUCGGUCACCGCAAGGAGCCGCCUAGGGUA